rnacentral:rRNA from 1 species
CUGGCUCAGAACGAACGCUGGCGGCAUGCCUAACACAUGCAAGUCGAACGAGACCUUCGGGUCUAGUGGCGCACGGGUGCGUAACACGUGGGAAUCUGCCCUUUGCUUCGGAAUAACAGUUAGAAAUGACUGCUAAUACCGGAUGAUGUCGAAAGACCAAAGAUUUAUCGGCAAGGGAUGGGCCUGCGUCUGAUUAGUUAGUUGGUGGGGUAACGGCCUACCAAGGCAGCGAUCAGUAGCCGACCUGAGAGGGUGAUCGGCCACAUUGGAACUGAGACACGGUCCAAACUCCUACGGGAGGCAGCAGUGGGGAAUAUUGCACAAUGGGCGAAAGCCUGAUGCAGCAACGCCGCGUGAAGGAUGAAGGCCCUUGGGUCGUAAACUUCUGUUCUAAGGGAAGAUAAUGACGGUACCUUAGGAGCAAGUCCCGGCUAACUACGUGCCAGCCGCCGC